GGUGGCUCAGUGGUAGAGUGCUUGCCUUGCAUGCAUAAGGCCCUAGGUUCGAUUCCUCAGCACCA
rfam:Dipodomys ordii contig_58975, whole genome shotgun sequence.